UUACAGUCAAGCAGAAGAUGAAGUCUUCUCUGUCAGCUUCAGUCUCCUGCUACUGUCCUUUAAAGAAUUAUGUUUGGUUUAGGGGUUGCAGAAUGGAAGAUAGAUAGGAGAGAAUCACCUUUACCCUACAAGCAGUUGCUCUUAGAAGAGGAUAAUUAAAUCAGGCAGUUUCACUGACACUUGCUGAAGCUAAAGUUGCUCAGAACUGCUGAGAUACGCCCAGAUGUCAUGGAUGGAAACAAAGGGGAUCCUACUCAGCUCGUAGGCAGCAGCAUGCACAGACCAGCUCUGUUACUCAGUUUGUAAGCCAAGAACUUGAUGAAAAUAAUCCAGGCUUUGUUGCAUGUUUGCUUCCAAUUUUCAAAAGUUCAUUCUGUUCUAUUCCUAUUUCCCAGCACCCUGAUAAACUAUUUAAUUUCAACAGUGACUGCAACGUAACUUCUAAGCAAAUGCUACAACAACAUUAAUAGUAAAAUCUGCCAAUGCUACUGGAGUUAACCAAAUUCUCUGGACAGCUGUCAGAAUGGAGUUACAUCAUUUGCUUUCUGUUGUCCUACAGAAUUAAUUUUUGAAAAUAAACUUGUGAGGAAUAACUAACAAUCAAGUCUGAGCAUAAAAAUGUUCUACGGUAUACAGUGAGACUUUGA